rnacentral:rRNA from 1 species
AAAGGGUCCGCAGGCGGAUGUAUAAGUCAGUGGUGAAAUCCUAUCGCUUAACGAUAGAACUGCCAUUGAUACUGUACGUCUUGAAUUCGGUCGAAGUGGGCGGAAUGUGUAGUGUAGCGGUGAAAUGCAUAGAUAUUACACAGAACACCGAUAGCGAAGGCAGCUCACUAGGCCUGGAUUGACGCUCAGGGACGAAAGCGUGGGGAUCAAACAGGAUUAGAUACCCCGGU